GACGAACGCUGGCGGCGUGCUUAACACAUGCAAGUCGAACGGAAAGGCCCUGCUUGCAGGGUGCUCGAGUGGCGAACGGGUGAGUAACACGUGGGUGAUCUGCCCCUUACUUUGGGAUAAGCCUGGGAAACUGGGUCUAAUACUGGAUAGGACCAUGCUGUAGGUGGUGUGGUGGAAAGAUUAGUUUCGGUAAGGGAUGAGCUCGCGGCCUAUCAGCUUGUUGGUGGGGUAAUGGCCUACCAAGGCGUCGACGGGUAGCCGGCCUGAGAGGGUGGACGGCCACAUUGGGACUGAGCUACGGCCCAGACUCCUACGGGAGGCAGCAGUGGGGAAUAUUGCACAAUGGGCGCAAGCCUGAUGCAGCGACGCCGCGUGGGGGAUGACGGCCUUCGGGUUGUAAACUCCUUUCAGCCAUGACGAAGCCCUUGUGGUGACGGUAGUGGUAGAAGAAGCACCGGCUAACUACGUG
rnacentral:rRNA from 1 species